CUACGCAAAUGCCUCCUAUGUUCAAUCGGAAGUUCUAUUCCUACUGGAAGAAUAGAAUGGAGAUAUUCAUCAAGGCCGAAAACUACCAUGUAUGGAUAGUUAAUGAAGUUGGUGAUUUUGAGGUCAUAACUACUAAUGACAAGAAUGAGGUAAUUCCUAAACCCUUUUCUGAAUAUGAUAAAGCUGAUUUUGAAAAAAUAGAAGUUAAUGUUAUGGCUGUUAAACUGUUGCAUUGUGGACUUGGACCCCAUGAACACAAUAGGAUCAUGGGAUGCAAAUCUACAAAAUAAAUAUGGGAUUUACUAGAAGUAAUCCAUGAAGGAACUAAUGAAGUCAAGAGAUCUAAAAUUGAUUUAGUAAUGAAUUAAUAUGAAAUAUUCUCCAUGAAGGCUAAGGAAAGCAAACAAGAGAUGUUUACUCGUUUUACUAACAUUAUUAAUGAGUUAGCCUCUCUUGGUAAGUUUAUUUCAUCAGAGGAACAUGUUCGAAAAGUUUUUAGGAGUCUUCUUAAGGAUAGAUGGAUGGAUAAGGUCACUGCUUUACAAGAAACAAACGACUUCACUAACUUCAACUUGGAACAGCCUGUUGGAUCACUUAUAACUCAUGAGCUUCACCUUGAUAAUUAGUAUGGUGAAAGCUCUAAGUCAAAGUCCAUUGCUCUCAAACCAGAUGAUGCAGAUGACUCUGACUCAGAAGAAGAGGAAGCAUAACUCAUGGUCUGACAAUUUCGAAAGAUGUAUAGGAACAUGGAGAAUGGGAACUUCAAAGGUAUCAUUGAAAGGAACAAAGAGAAUACUUAGUCAAGGAAGAAGUCAAGAGAUGAUUUCGAAGACUAAGUGAAGAUGUCUCUUUUAGUUGAUACUGGAGAAGCAUUGGAGCAAGAAGAAUAAAGCAAGGCGUUUUUAUUUUCUAGUUCCAUUGUAAAGGAACAAGUAAUGUUGGUAAGGAACAUUGGCAGUUUUAUUUGAGAAUGAUAGUUUUUUCCUUUGUAAGGAACAGACGAAUUGGCACUAAACAAAUCAGUUAAAGGAACUUAUGAAUAAAAGGAACUAGACUUAGGCUCGGAGCGAGCAUUAUAACGGUUCACUAAUGGAAGUUGAGUAAAUCUUGCCUAAAUAAUAGAUAACCGUUUUUAGUCUAAGAGAAAAUCUGUUUUUAUGGAAAAUCUUUUUAAGGAAAAGAUUUUGUUUUUCGAAAAAGAUAAGAAAAAUAUUAUUCGGUUUUUAAAGGAUUUUAUUUAAAAGAUAAUAUUUUCUUAAAGAUUUAAUUUUAGUUUUAAUAUUAAAUCUAUUUUAAAUUAAAACUGAUUUUCGGAUAAUGCUCAAGUAAUUCCUAUAUUCUAGGAGCAGUAACUAAAACAUGUCCACGUCCAAGCAGAGAUCAUGGGAUCAUGGGAUGUGUUAUGGAACGUGUUCCUUGAGGGAAGGAAUAUCAUGGGAUAAUGGUUUUUAACAUGUACACGAUUUUAAUUCCCACGUUCUAUAUUAUUGUCACUAUAAAUAUUGAAGUCUAAGUAAGUUCCAAAUUGUGUCUGACUAAGUAAUUAAGUGAGUUUAACUAAUUAAGUGUCAGUGCCUUCAUUCUCUCAUAAUAGCCAUUUGUUCUUUGCUUACUUACUCUAAUUCCACUAAGCUUAUUUCGAUCAAUUGUAUUUUGGUUUUUGGGGUAAGGGGACUUUGAGUGAAGUUCUGUAAGAGAGAAGCUUUGAGUAAAGCUAGUAAGAGUGAGAAAACUUCGAGUGAAGUUGAGAGGAACUGCUGUCAAGGGAACAGUGGCUCAGGAACUUGAGUUUAGGAACUCAAGGUGUGGCUCGAGAAUAGAAUUAGGUUAUAACAAAGUUGUUUGGCCUAAUUAGUAAAAGAGUUGAGUUUAAAAUCCCUAGUGGUCAAGGUUGUUUCUUCUUGUUGGGACCAAGAAGUUUUUC